UACAAAAAUAAAAAUAAAAAAUAAAAGCAGCC
rnacentral:piRNA from 1 species